GUCAGACAGAUUUUGAAGAAAAUUGCAGAUAUUGAUCCUAGAUUUGAAGCCUCUGCAGUUUUGUCUGGAAGUGUGAGUGAAGGCACUAAGAUAUUUCUUCCUAAUGAAUUUGACUACUGUAUAUCUGCUGUCUACACAAGUUUGAUAGCAUCACCACUGUUGAUGAAACAGAUCCAAAUAGACCAGCCUGUUUUGCAUCCCUCAUCAUGAAUACUCAAAAUUCUAGUAGCCAGCACUCAGAAUUUGCUGAAUUUUUCAACGAUUCAUUUUUUACAACAGACCCACACAACAAAAUUUUCCACGAAUCCUAUUAUAUGAUGAACUAAAGGUGGAAAAAUGUAGAAUACAUUGCUUGUCUGUGAAGUGGACGGGAUGGCUGAUGAAAGACAUGGUGAUAUCGAUUGAUUUUGUUCCCACUAUUCCAAAAAGAAACUGGUGGCCAUCACAAAUUCCAGAUUAACAACAGACAAACAUGUCUCAUCUUGGAUGCUUGCUAAUAACUAAAUCUGACAAAUCAGAAAAGUUUCAGUUUGUGCCUGCCCACAAGAUGACACCAUUUCUGCGUGUUUCAUUUUCUGAAGUUGAGACGUUCCUGAUCAGAAAGCAGAGUGACCAAGUAAAGCAAGGAUACAAGCUCGCCAAAAAUAUGAUCGACCUGGUUCCUCCGCUACGAAUUAGCGAUGAUGAUGAAUAUAAGGAUCUGAAACGUUCAGCGAGUGAACUGAUUUCAAGUUACAUGCUGAAAACCUGCCUCUUAUAUCUUCUUGACAAUGACAUGAGUGGUGAUGAUAGAGAAAAACUAACCAGUGGAGAACAAAUUAGAGCAUGGGCAUUUGCCAUUUUUAAGCAGUUUGAAAAGUUUUUAACAGAUAAGCAAGGCACAGUUCCAUCAUUCUUUGUUCCAGAAUAUAAUCUCAUAUCACUUUAAGACUUUUCUUCUCAUGGAAUGAAUGAUCGUAAACAUCUUCAGUUUUGCAAGAUGAUCAUAGCAAUAUUGGAUCCAAAACAAGCAAUGGACAAAAUAUGAAUUUAAUAUAAUAUGAAAUAUUGAUGCGGGAAUUAAAAAAAAAUAAUUUUUUUGUCGCAUCUAUUAUUUCAACACCAUAAAAAUAACAAUGCAAUUUUGUGACUUCAAAUACAUUUUCUUUAAAAAACUAUAAAAUUAAACCACUUUUUAUACAAUAUUUACUAUUACUAGCCAAAUAUAAACAGUACCUCCCUCAUCGAUAAAAACAGAAGCGAAAUAAUCUAUUGUACCGAUUAAAAAAAAAAACACAAAAAAAACGCCCUCUCUCAUCAAUUUUUGUUUAAAAAGAGUGAUAAUCUAAUAAUUUUUUCUAUAUGCCCUUACCAUGCUACUGUAUAGACGACUUGUGCUAAUGCAUAAAUAACCAUUAAAACUUCAAUCUUGUUAUACUUACGAUUUAAGUGAUUAAGAUUACCGCUAAUCAAAGUAAAUAUGUGCCCCAAUUUGGAAUUUGUUAAAAAGACCUCCGAAAAUCCAACACACCACAGUUAGCGAUAAUACAGCGCCUGCAGGCAUCCAUCGCACAAUAAAUCUUCCUUCACAGCGUGUCAACACUGUGACCUUUUAAAGCAAAACCUCUAGCCACGCUGUCGGAGAUUUAUCAUUUCUUUCUAACACACUAUCAAAAGGAAAAAAAAGAUGAACAUUUGCUUGACGAAGGAAGCAACUUUUUUUUAUAAGUGUUUUGGAGUUCAGUGAAAAUCCAAGAGGGAUUUGAUGGAACAAGAAAGAAGUCUGCAAUGUACUGGAAGAUUGCUGUGAAGGUAAAGGAAAUGAGGAUCAAAUUCGAGUCGAGACAGAGCGGCAUGUUGGUAUAGUCGGCCAGAAUGUUAAGAAGCAGUGGUGUUCAGCUUCAGGAUGAAUAGUAACAUUGAGAGAGUGGAUAGCAACAUAAGAAUACAGUGUGCUGGCUCUUUGCUAGUUGACUCAUUUGCAUAAUUCACUGGACCAUGGUCUCACUACAAUGAUGUAAUGGUAAUGAAUAUUCAUUAUCAGACAGUUGAAACUGCAAAAAUCAGGAAACUGCUGAAAUGACACCACAGCAAAAGCAACUUCUAGAUAGCAUAUGUAUGGGUUUCACCUCAGCAAAUCUCACAUAAUGUAAUCUCCUACUGCUUGCUGCUAAAUCCACAAUUGGACCAAUGUUUUAAAAAGUAUGUUGGUAAGCAGGCAGAUUGACAUGAGUGACGUGUUAAAAAGCAGUGUUUUCACUUCAUGAAAUAAUAAUUUCAAAAAUGGAUAACAACUGAAGAAAUACCAGAUUCUGUUGAUUUAUUUGCAUAUUCCACCAGACCAACUAUCCUCAUACCAGGCAGAGAAAUGAUGAAUAUUCAUUGAUUUCAGCUAGAACUGCAAAAACCAGCAAAACUGCAGAACUGACACCAAGUCAAGAACAACUUCUGAGAGGCAUAUAUAUCUUUCAGCGGGGCCAAGGGUGGUGGGUGGAGCGUAGGUUCCACGCGUGGCGAUUGCCUAUGAUGGGCGAUCGCAUCCGCUUGGAUAAUCCCAACUGUCUUAUUGCGCGAGAUGCUGACGAAAUUUUCGAAAAAAGUUUCGUUAAGAUUUAUUGGAUUGUAGAGUAUGUGGUGUUUGAAAUACAGUACACUACAAAUUGUAGUACAAUUAAAAUAGUG
rnacentral:lncRNA from 1 species